rnacentral:misc_RNA from 1 species
UUGAUUCAUUUUCGAAACGCCCACGAAGGGGCGCCGAGAAGGCUCAGAAAGUAAAAAACCCGCGAGGGGGUAUACAAAAAGAGUUUUGGUUGGUCCUCCGGCGGGCGCCUUGGUCCGGGGCUGCGACGCACCCGGGGCAGAAGAUCCCGCCGAGGCAACAGUUUGGUAACGUUCACAUUGGGUUUGGGAGUUGUAAACUCGGUAAUGAUCCCUCCGCUGGUUCACCAACGGAGA